ensembl:lncRNA
AUUCAAUCAAUCUUAUGUUGGCAUGUUCUGAGGCAACAGGUAAGUUGAGACAAGAUCCAAUUUAGCUAAGUGGAAGAAGGUAAGAGGGAAAGAUUUUCGUAAUGAUUUUAUUAGCUGAAUUUCCUUUUGCUCUUUCAGCAGCCUGAUUAUAUAGAAACAGCAGUUGGAACCACAGUCAAGGAAUGUCUUUGGUGCUCACCUGGGACCAAGGCGAAAUGCAAUUAUCAACUGCAUUUUUUCAGUGUACAUAAAGCAAGUGAGAAGUGCAAUUUAAAGAGAACUGUCAAUUAGGCUUAUUUUUCUCAGUUGAUUAUCUUACUCUUAAGAGUUCUACUUUUCCCUCAGUCCAUACUAUAUUGAAGAACAAGUGUCCUAUGUCUUCAAGUUGUGAUUUCCAGGUUUUAAAAGGAAAUAUAUUUAUUCAUUCUUUUUUGGGAUGUUUGAGUUUUGAAAAGAUGGGUGAGAAAAUUUAUGGCCUCAAAGGGAAGUAUAUCAUAUUUGGAACCACCUUUCUCCAGAACAUGGGAGGUAAAUGCAGCAC